GGCUGGUCUGAGUGCAGUGGUGUCUUACAACUAAUUGAUCACUGCCAGUUACAGAUUUCUUUGUUCCUUCUCCACUCCCACUGCUACACUUGACUAGCCUAAA
rfam:Myotis brandtii contig255712, whole genome shotgun sequence.